ensembl:snRNA U6 U6 spliceosomal RNA
GUGCUCGCUUCAGCAGCACAUAUAGUAAAAUUGGAACUAUACAGAGAAGAUUAGUAUGGCCCCUGUGCAAGGAUGACACUCAAAUUCGUGAAGUGUUCCAUAUUUUG